rnacentral:rRNA from 1 species
AUUCCAGCUCCAAUAGCGUAUACUAAAGUUGUUGCAGUUAAAAAGCUCGUAGUUGAAUUUCUGGUCUCGGGCUUCGGUCUGCCUCAAACGAGGUACGCACCAGUUGUCUGAAUCCAUCCUCGGGGAGAACAUAUGUGUCAUUAAUUUGAUGUGUAUGGGAUCCUCGUCAUUUACUGUGAGCAAAAUAGAGUGUUCAAAGCAGGCUUAUGCCGUUGAAUACAUUAGCAUGGAAUAAUAAGAUAAGACCUUGGUCUAUUUUGUUGGUUUGUACUCCAAGGUAAUGAUUAAUAGGGAUAGUUGGGGGUAUUCGUAUUCAAUUGUCAGAGGUGAAAUUCUUGGAUUUAUGGAAGACGAACUACUGCGAAAGCAUUUACCAAGGAUGUUUUCAUCA